rnacentral:rRNA from 1 species
CAAUAGCGUAUAUUAAAGUUGUUGCAGUUAAAAGCUCGUAGUUGGAUCUCGGGUCCCAGCUUUGCGGUCUGACUUAUUGUCGGUUACUGCUUGGCUGGCCUACCUCCCGGUUCGCCCUUGGUGCUCUUGACUGAGUGUCUCGGGUGGCCGGAAAGUUUACUUUGAAAAAUUAGAGUGUUCAAAGCAGGCCGCGUCGCCUGGAUAAUGGUGCAUGGAAUAAUGGAAUAGGACCUCGGUUCUAUUUUGCUGGUUUUCGGAGCUGGAGGUAAUGAUUAAGAGGGACUGACGGGGGCAUUCGUAUUACGGUGUUAGAGGUGAAAUUCUUGGAUCGCCGUAAGACGAACUACUGCGAAAGCAUUUGCCAAGCAUGUUUUCUUUAGUCAAGAACGAUAGUCAGAGGUUCGAAGAUGAUUAGAUACCAU